GUCAACCACCAGCAAAUGCUUAAAAACCGGCACUUUAAAUUGCCACCUAUAAGAAUUUAUAGUGGCACUCAUAAAUGCCGAAAAAAAUAUCUUUUCUGGCACUCAAACCUGCCGGCUGUUCCUAUUUUCAGCGGCAAUUUUUUUUGCCAGCAAAGUUAUAGCGGCAGUCAUAAAUGCCAAAAAAAAUAUCUUUUCUGACACUCAAAACUGCCGGCUAUUCCUAUUUUCAGCGGCACUUAAUAAUGCUGGCAAUAAAUACAAAAUUAUAAUUCGUAAUUAAAUAUCCCGACAAAAAAAUGUGCCAGCAAAAAAGUAUUUUGUAAAUAGAUCGAUAGGGAUUCAUGUAUUAACAUAUACAAACGAUAUCAAGCACAAUAAUUAUAGUAAAAAAAACAAAGAAUAAAAGAUAACUUUAUAAAAUUUCGACUAUUACAUUCAACAUCCAUAAUAAACCAAAAAAAUUAACAAUAUCUAAUACAGUUGUUCACGAAAAAAGAUUUAAAUACAAGUAAAACAUCAUGCAUCAUUAAUUAGUAGCCAAAAUCAAGUACAAAAUAAUAUCUAUUUAAAGUUUCACAACAAUUAGUUUGAUCUGCAUCCAUAGUAAACAAAAAACAAGUAGUUUAGUCUCAUAACAAAACAUACAAUAUUAAUAUACUCCAAUCACAUAUUUCUUGCUAAACAAAAUGAAGGAAUUGAAGCUUUGCGAUCGGUCAAUCGAUGGUUUCAUCUUCUCGCUGGCUUAAUCUGCAUUAGAGUAAAAACACAAAAUUUCAAUAAAAAAUUCUAACUUUAAUUUCAGCAAAUUACUAAAAUAUGCAAUAUAUAUGUUCUCUAACUAAAUUAAAUCCUGAGAUUUGAGAGACAAUCCG
rnacentral:lncRNA from 1 species